GCGAAGCGAGAGAACGUUGCGUCAGCAACGGCCCGCAGGGCGAGCCACGAAGUGGUGAGUCAUCCUCUAUCACCGACCA
rnacentral:sRNA from 1 species